rnacentral:rRNA from 1 species
CGACUUAACUGAACCUUCGGGGAACGUUAAGGGCGUCGAGCGGCGGACGGGUGAGUAAUGCCUAGGAAAUUGCCCUGAUGUGGGGGAUAACCAUUGGAAACGAUGGCUAAUACCGCAUGAUGCCUACGGGCCAAAGAGGGGGACCUUCGGGCCUCUCGCGUCAGGAUAUGCCUAGGUGGGAUUAGCUAGUUGGUGAGGUAAUGGCUCACCAAGGCGACGAUCCCUAGCUGGUCUGAGAGGAUGAUCAGCCACACUGGAACUGAGACACGGUCCAGACUCCUACGGGAGGCAGCAGUGGGGAAUAUUGCACAAUGGGCGCAAGCCUGAUGCAGCCAUGCCGCGUGUGUGAAGAAGGCCUUCGGGUUGUAAAGCACUUUCAGUCGUGAGGAAGGUGGUGUAGUUAAUAGCUGCAUUACUUGACGUUAGCGACAGAAGAAGCACCGGCUAACUCCGUGCCAGCAGCCGCGGUAAUACGGAGGGUGCGAGCGUUAAUCGGAAUUACUGGGCGUAAAGCGCAUGCAGGUGGUUUGUUAAGUCAGAUGUGAAAGCCCGGGGCUCAACCUCGGAAUAGCAUUUGAAACUGGCAGACUAGAGUACUGUAGAGGGGGGUAGAAUUUCAGGUGUAGCGGUGAAAUGCGUAGAGAUCUGAAGGAAUACCGGUGGCGAAGGCGGCCCCCUGGACAGAUACUGACACUCAGAUGCGAAAGCGUGGGGAGCAAACAGGAUUAGAUACCCUGGUAGUCCACGCCGUAAACGAUGUCUACUUGGAGGUUGUGGCCUUGAGCCGUGGCUUUCGGAGCUAACGCGUUAAGUAGACCGCCUGGGGAGUACGGUCGCAAGAUUAAAACUCAAAUGAAUUGACGGGGGCCCGCACAAGCGGUGGAGCAUGUGGUUUAAUUCUAUGCAACGCGAAGAACCUUACCUACUCUUGACAUCCAGAGAACUUUUCAGAGAUGAAUUGGUGCCUUCGGGAACUCUGAGACAAGUGCUGCAUGGCUGU